rnacentral:lncRNA from 10 species
AUAGCCCUUCAGACCCCCCCAGAGGCUCUGCCUCCCCACACCCUGGCCUCCCUCCCCAGGCUCUGGGAGGCCAGGCCUCGCCCCCUCUCCUGUGCUGCUCCUUCUCCCAGAGGACUGCAUCCGCCCUCAGCACUUCAAGGCCCUGCAUGUGCCCGCACCUCUCCACUCCCCUGGCUCAGCUUGGACCUCUCUUCUGAACUCCAGACUUGCGGAUCCUGCUCCCCUUCCCACUUCUGCACUUGGGGGUCUAAUGAGGCCUCAGUGGAACAUAGAAUUCCUCCCGCCCUGACAUCAUAGCUCCCGCCUGGGAGGCCUCCUGGAUGACUCCUUUCGCCUCCUCCCUUCCCUGAGAGCAGCCCCUGGCUCAACCUCCACCUCCGUGCUGCCUCGGACCACCUGCCCAGUCGAGCUGCCAUCACCUGCCAGGGUGAGCCACUGCGCCUGAUCAAGGCAUCACCGUUGAACCUCCUAAGAGGAAAACAUAAGGCUGUGCAAUACCAGGAACUGGGAUUCUAGGUUGCCCCAGACACCAAGGCAUCAAAAGCCAGGGGAUCCAGAGAAAACACAGACAGCCAAGAGAGAAACUGCGGGAAAAAGCCAAAAGGUUGAGAGCCACACCAUCUAGAAGCUUCCUGCCUGUGGUGCGGCACAGGUGG